CUCUGCACUGUGCCGCCCUGACCCAGUAGACCAUAAGGAUCCGACAGACCUCAAUGUUGUACUCUUGCGCAUACUCAAGGCAGCUGGAGAGACCAGGAACUGAAGAGGACCUGCAGAAAGAAGAUGGUGGAGGCUGCAAGGGUCAGGCUGAAGUAAAUAUAACUCACCUUUCCCAUGCAACCCUCGGCCAUUGUACUGCCAGCAGAGCAGUACAACCUUAAAAAAC